GGCUGGUCCCAGAAACAACAUCCUGGUGCUGCCUGAGUGUGUAAUGCAAACUCCAGCAUCAGUGAUUUUGUUGCUGGGGGCG
rnacentral:pre_miRNA from 12 species